GAAUAGCAGGUUAUUUUAUCGACUACUGACAAGACCACAUGUGAGGCCUUUAGUAUGUGUUUAGACAGUAAGAUGAUACUCUAAGGAAAGCAUUUCUCUUAUAAUCUCUUUCCCUCUUCCUUUGAAGGGAUUAAAUUCAUCAAUAUAAGAGAAAUAUGAGGUGACUAUAGAAUCUAUUGCAUCUUUCAUGUGCAUUAGGUGGCUUCUAUAAUGUCGCAUCUUGUCCUGUGUUGUUCCACUGAGAGUAUGAACAAAUGAACAUGAGGCAAAUACUAGAAGAGUGAUAUGCAUCUUGUAAUAUUCUUUAUCAUAAGAAACACAAUACUUUAUCCAUGGGUUUGUUUGGCAUUACUAUUGAAGAAGUUGUUGAGAAAAACACAUGCUUAAAUAUGUUCGUUAGGGAUAUUAAGAACCGGUUUAAAAUUAAAUUUGACAUGUU
rnacentral:misc_RNA from 1 species